rnacentral:lncRNA from 1 species
GAUGGGGAGGAACAAAAUAAAGAAGAAAAAAGUAAAUGGUAGCCUGGUGCUCAGCGUGAAGCUGAGCGGGAGGCAGAGUUGGGGUCGGUCUGGGAGAAGAACCAUUAUCAUGGUGGGACAAUUUUGUCCCCAUUUUCCGCAGCCUAAUCUAACAGAGAGGUCGAAAAGUGGAUAGAAGAUGGUAGGAUAUAGUUUCAGGUCAAUGGUGUGUAUACGGCAUUCCAAUUUGCACAGUGGAAGAAGAAAAGAAGGCGGGCAAGGGUUGCUCUGUAUAUAUAAAAAAGGAGAAAAAGAGAAAAGAACUGAAACCUCCCUUCAGACUAAUGACUGUUAUGUGCCCCCAACAGACUGGCAGUGGUGCCCCGACUAAGGAGGGGGGCCCACACACAAGCAUUCGCCGACACUUCUUUUUGCUUUAGCUCAUGCUGUGACCUCUCUAUAUGCUGCAUGUUCUUAAUAGACACAUUUUCGACCAAAGCCUACUGAUGCUAUCCCCUUCUGUACAUUUUUACCUACGUAGGCUAUAUCCUUUUUUUCCCUUCUUUAUCUCCUAUGGCUCUGUAUAGGCUGUAUAGCUGUACGUAUAUCUAGAUACGGCUCAACUUCACAUAUUUCCCUACCCCGUCUGCAAGUAGUGGUGGGCCAAUUAACCAUGAAAUGAGUAAAUGACCCUAAUGUCAGAUCUCUUCAUUAUUUUCUUGUCCACUCCAGGACACCGACUCGACCUGCAGCGGUAGCUUCUCAUUUAUUUUCUUUCAUCAUUGUCAAGUGUUUGACGUUUUAACAUGUGCAAAAAUGUACACAGCUGACGCAGGGUAUACAACCAAGUCUAAACAAGCCUAAAGUUGUCUGCAAACAGCCAAGGUUUUCGUUGUGCUGCUAUUUCUCACAUCACCUCUUGCCUGCAGUGUGAAAGAAUUAUUUUAAGCGUUUUUUUUUUUUCGUAGUCUCUGGUGGCAGAAUUAAUGGAAUCCUAUCACAAAUUUGUGAUUUACCUGUCGUUUGCCAAUGGUUAAUCACGUUAUUAAAAUUAGUUUAUUGAAAGUAACGAUUUUUUUUUUCCUGGAAGAAAAUGGAAUGCACCUACACUUGGUUCGGGACUGAACGUUUUCCGUAACAGAAUAUAAUAAAGCUUUUCACUUGUGAAAAUCUCUGGCAUUAAAAGAACAUUCCACUAUGGCAUGAAUGACCAUAUAGCCAAUGGUUUAUCUAUGAGACGUGUUUCGUAAGUUUAUUUAUGGUUGUCUAAUAUUUUCUGUGCGGCAGUACAAGCAAAAAAAUAAAAGUAAAGAAGAAGAAAAAAUGGGCAGUAGGAUAAGCCUCUUGCAAACGCAUUAUUUGUGAACCGAUUCAUGAACGGCGUGGAGAUGACCCUUGAGGGAAGUAUGCCAACCAGGUCCAAAACCAGGUGCUCUUUCAACACGAGAAAGGUCCUUUUUUCGCUUGCUUCUUUAUUGAUGCACAACAGAGGACAGUUGGCCUGGUGUGUGUCAUUUUAGGCUGGCGGAAGAUGGACGGAACGAGGGCGACGAGUCUGUGGAACAGUGGCGAUGUUUGGAAAAGUGCUUUCAUUUCAGCAAUUGCCUGAGCUCGGCUUUCUUCUACCAGUUUUUCGAAAAUCUUCUUUUUGAGUUUGAAAAACCGCCGCUCUGCUAUCGUCUGGAAAUCGACAUUUCGAUAGAUCGGGGCAGACGACAGGGUAUAAUAGUAUGUGAUACCACCCUGGGUUUUGGCAAAACUCCCAGUUUCUAAAUAUUUCUUCUUCACCUUUUUUUUUCGGGAUGGAUUUCUAAAAUUCUUUUUACCCUUUCUGCAUUUUCCAUGAUCGGCUAAAGGUUUUAUGGGAAAUCAUGUUUGCUAUGCUGCACCGAUUUUUGCUAUGUGUGUAUAUUUAAAUAAAAGCAAAUUCAUGGCGAAACCAGGAGAAAUAAGAUAAACAAAAAACGAUCUCAAUUAAAAGAAAUUUGUUUUAUCGUUUCUUUUUGGUGUUCACCUCGAAUUGGUCUGUCACAAGGUAUGUGUGUAUAAUGUGCGAUGCCUUCAAGAUGAAUCCUGUUCAUUAUCAAUAUUGGCUGUCUUCAUUGAGGAAACCGAAAAUUCAAGUUUUCAUAACUCUAUGAGACAUCUGCAAAUUAAGUUAAUAACCUUUUUAUGCAACAGAGAAUUACGUUACACAUUUUUGUUGACUGUUUGAUAAACGAUUACUGUAUUGUUUUUGCUCAUAAUUAAGACCCUGUUCCACACUUCCUUCUAGCAAUGCGACGUAUAGAUAGAAAGACAUGAUUUUUAGGUUUCCUUAAUUGCUGAGCAACCAUUAGUGGAGAGUGGCACCUGACAUUGGUCAAGUGACUUGGCGGAAAAAAGGCACAGUUGAUAUCGCACCAUUAUGCUAUGAUGAAGGAAUAAUAUUUUCCUUGUAUUAAUUUAGCUGCAUAAAACGCCUAUUUUAUUUGUGCAGUCGGUCAUGAAAAAACUGCUCACCACCCACAGCUGUUGUUUAUGCCCUGUGCCACAGUUUAAAUCGGUGUCUUUUGCAUAAUAUCACCCCUUGUUGCAGAUCACGUUGAUCUUUUUCCAGAACCUACAAGGAGAAUAUUUAAGAAAUCACAUGCAUUUGGUCUUUUUCAAUUAGAGCAGUUUUAGCUCGUAAAAAGAAAAAUCCGGGAAUUUUAACGGCGCUUGUAGAGGCUUUAGAGAACAACUGGUUAAGGCUGCCUAAAGCCCAUAAACGUAUUGUAUGUACCCUCAUCUGAAAAGAAAGAAAAAAAAACUCGACCACUCCUUCUAAGGUUCGUUCCCCUAUAUUCAUAGGCUAUAUGUGUAUAGCCACCGUCCCCUAAUCUUAGCUACCACCCGCUGUUGUACCUUCCUACUCAUUUUUCGUCGACCGUCACGGAUUAUAUUUCCUACUUUCAUUAGACAUAUUGGAACUUUCCCCCCUUAAAAUAUAUGCUAAUUAUCCUGAUCUGUUGGAACUAGACAUUUUGAGCUGCUCGACAUAUAUACAGGCUCGCACUGACAAACAAUUAUCUGCCAUCUUCCACAUUAUAAAACCUUAACCGCCAUUGGCUGCCAACACAUUUGCCUGUGUUGGCAAGUUGCCGCUCAGCUUUGUACU